rnacentral:lncRNA from 1 species
CUGAGAGCCCGGACGCCUGGGUUCUAUCUCCCAUUCUCUUUCCAGAUGACACGGAGCCGAUUUACGAGGUGAUGGAGUCUCCGUUGGAGAGCCCCCAGCCGGAUGGGAGAAACCCCGAAACUGACCCCCAACCCCCCCCGGCCAUGCCCUUGCCUCCCCAGCCAGACCCCAACUACACGGAGCUGCUGCAGCGAGCCGAGUCCGUGUACGCCCAGAUCCAGAGGUGACGCCAGCUGCAGAGUCCACAGGGGGGAACCCCCCAGGGAAGCCCCCCGCCGUGGGGAACCCCCCCAACGAGGAGCCACCCAGGGACACCCCCUUGCCAUGGGGAACCCUCUGAGGGUCCCCACAAUUGGGAUCCCUGACCACAAGGAUCCCACCCAUGGGGAACCCCCUACCAUGGGGAACACGCACAGAAAAACUGGGGUACUCUCCCAGGGACUCCAAUGGGCAGCUCCACCCACAAAGCCUGAGCACCCCCCAGUGGGGUACCCCUCAGCAAACCUGGGAACCCUCCACAGCACCCUUGACCCUCCCAAAGGGACCCCCUCCCAGCAUCCAUGGAAGCCCCUAGAAACACCCCCCUCAUUGUCCAUGGGGAACCCCCCAGGAGAACUCCCACCCUCAGCCUGCACGCCAGACCUCACACCCUGGGGAUCCCCCCAUCAGCAUCUCCAGGGAACCCCCCCCACCCCCAAACCCAGCCUCCCGGGGCCCAUCCAACGCCGGAGCCUGGAUCAAACCUCUGGAGGAAGAGCUGAGCUGGAGGCCGGUGUUGGGAGCAGAUGAGGGGCACCCCCAGCCCCACUAUUAAA